rnacentral:rRNA from 1 species
CAUGCAAGUCGGACGGAGCUUAGAGAGCUUGCUUUUUAAGCUUAGUGGCGAACGGGUGAGUAACGCGUGAGUAACCUGCCCUAGAGUGGGGGACAACAGUUGGAAACGACUGCUAAUACCGCAUAAGCCCACAGUACCGCAUGGUACUGAGGGAAAAGGAUUUAUUCGCUUUAGGAUGGACUCGCGUCCAAUUAGCUAGUUGGUGAGGUAACGGCCCACCAAGGCGACGAUUGGUAGCCGGACUGAGAGGUUGAACGGCCACAUUGGGACUGAGACACGGCCCAGACUCCUACGGGAGGCAGCAGUGGGGGAUAUUGCACAAUGGGGGAAACCCUGAUGCAGCGACGCCGCGUGGAGGAAGAAGGUUUUCGGAUUGUAAACUCCUGUCGUUAGGGACGAUAAUGACGGUACCUAACAAGAAAGCACCGGCUAACUACGUGCCAGCAGCCGCGGUAAAACGUAGGGUGCAAGCGUUGUCCGGAAUUACUGGGUGUAAAGGGAGCGCAGGCGGGAAGACAAGUUGGAAGUGAAAACCAUGGGCUCAACCCAUGAAUUGCUUUCAAAACUGUUUUUCUUGAGUAGUGCAGAGGUAGAUGGAAUUCCCGGUGUAGCGGUGGAAUGCGUAGAUAUCGG